rnacentral:ncRNA from 1 species
CUCUGUUUCGAACAUGAUUCAGGGCGGAAGGAG